rnacentral:rRNA from 1 species
UACGUGGGGGGCAAGCGUUGUUCGGAAUUACUGGGCGUAAAGGGCUCGUAGGUGGCCAACUAAGUCAGACGUGAAAUCCCCAGGCUUAACCUGGGAACUGCGUCUGAUACUGGAUGGCUUGAAUUCGGGAGAGGGAUGCAGAAUUCCAGGUGUAGCGGUGAAAUGCGUAGAUAUCUGGAGGAAUACCGGUGGCGAAGGCGGCAUCCUGGACCGAGAUUGACACUGAUGAGCGAAAGCCAGGGGAGCAAACGGG